rnacentral:rRNA from 1 species
AGUCGAGCGGAUGACGGGAGCUGGCUCCUUGAUUCAGCGGGGACGGGGGAGGCACCUAGGGAUCUGGCUGGGAGUGGGGGACAACGGUUCUAAAGGGACGGUAGUACCGCAUACGUCCUACGGGAGAAAGCACGUUGACCUUCGGGCCUUGGGCGAUCAGAUGAUCCUACGUCGGAGUAGGUAGUUGGUGAGGGGAGGGCGCACCAGGGCGACGAUCCGUAUGUGUGCGGAGAGGAUGAUGAGUGACACUGGAACUGAGACGGGGUCCAGACUACUACGGGAGGCAGCAGUGGGGAAUAUUGGACAAUGGGCGAAAGCCUGAUCCAGCCAUGCCGCGUGUGUGAAGAAGGUCUUCGGAUUGUAAAGCACUUUAAGUUGGGAGGAAGGGCAGUAAGCUAAUACCUUGCUGUUUUGACGUUACCGACAGAAUAAGCACCGGCUAACUCUGUGCCAGCAGCCGCGGUAAUACAGAGGGUGCAAGCGUUAAUCGGAAUUACUGGGCGUAAAGCGCGCGUAGGUGGUUCGUUAAGUUGGAUGUGAAAGCCCCGGGCUCAACCUGGGAACUGCAUCCAAAACUGGCGAGCUAGAGUACGGUAGAGGGUGGUGGAAUUUCCUGUGUAGCGGUGAAAUGCGUAGAUAUAGGAAGGAACACCAGUGGCGAAGGCGACCACCUGGACUGAUACUGACACUGAGGUGCGAAAGCGUGGGGGAGCAAACAGGAUUAGAUACCCUGGUAGUCCACGCCGUAAACGAUGUCAACUAGCCGUUGGAAUCCUUGAGAUUUUAGUGGCGCAGCUAACGCAUUAAGUUGACCGCCUGGGGAGUACGGCCGCAAGGUUAAAACUCAAAUGAAUUGACUGGGGCCCGCACAAGCGGUGGAGCAUGUGGUUUAAAUUCGAAGCAACCGCGAAGAACCUUUACCAGGCCUUGACAUGCAGAGAACUUUUCCAGAGAUGGUAUUGGUGCUUUCAGGGACUUCUGACACAGGUGCCUGCAUGGCUUGUCGUCUAGCUUCGUGUUCGUGAGAUGGUUUGGGUUAAGUUCUCGUAACGAGCGCCACCCUUUUGUUCUUUAGUUACCAGGCUCGUUUAUGGUGUGGUCACUCCUAUGGAGACACUGCCUGUGUG